GGGAGCAAACGGCAGGAUGACCAUGCCAGUUGCUCUGUCCCUUUUCCAAAGCUUUCCCAGAACUGUACCCAGAGACCCCACUCACAUCCCAGUGGCCAGACUGGAUCACAUGGCCAUUCCUACCUGCGAAGGAGGCUAAAAAAGGUGACCUUUCUAGUCUUCUGGCCUCUUCAAUAGAGGAAAGUAGAGAGAAGGGAGUUGUAAGUCUGCCCCUCCCCCACCCCGGGCGCUAAGAGAUGGGGGGUAACUCUGCAAAGCUGUCCUUCUGCCUCAAAGAUCAUUCCGCAGACACUGCUCUCUCCGUUAGAGUGUGCGGGGAAUAUUGGAAGAAAGGAAGGAUCCUUGCCCCUCCCCCAUUCACAGCAGAGCAGAACAGCAGGUUUGUCUGUUCAAAAACACAUGCCUUGGGAGUUGCUUCACUCGGGGUCAAACCUGUCUUCUCAGCAGCAAAGAUGAAGAAUUAGGAAAAACCUGGGAUUAAAAGGAGCAAGAGAGAACAUUGUCUUUAGAGGGAGUGGGCAAGAACGACCCAAGCUUCUAGGCUCUAAUCUGGGAGGCACAGAGGAUCGGGAAGGAUCUGAAAAACUGACACUGAACCUUCGCGAAGCAGAGAGAGAAGCUGGGGAGUUGGGAGGAGUCCACAGAAGUGAAAAGCUCCUGACCUCUGAGCCUCAGUCCCCACGUCCCUGAAAUAAGAAUAAGAACCAUACUUGCUCUGCCCAUUUCAAAGAGGUGGUGUGAGGAUUAAAGGAAAUGUCUUUUUUAAAUAUUUAGAUUUGAUGCCAUUUGCUGAUGAUAAUUGACAUGUGUGUGCUUGUGAAGAAAGUGAAAAGGACACGUUCCUGAACCACAGCAAUUUCGUGUAGCACAGUCAACGGAUAGAGGGCAAGAUGAUGGCCACUCUGUGUUUGCACCGUCCAGAUCGUAGAUGAGGGUGGAAACUUUAUUAUCUAUGCAACGAGGAAUGGAUGUUUAACUUGGAAAAGAGAGGAGAUAAGGACACCAAGGCACAGAGAGGUUAAGGAAACCCUACUAAGUCAAGCUAGUAAAUGGCGGAACCUGAACUUGAAUCCACGUGGUUGGAAAUCAGAGUCCAGUGCUUACACACAAUGCUGUGCAGCAUUUUCAUGGGCAUUUACAGGUGAGGAAAAUAAGGCACAGAACCAUGAGCCAUUGAACCAUGGUCACACUGCUAACAGUGAUGAAGCCAGAAUUGGAAGCUGUUGGAAACCAAUGAACAAUUAGGAGGACAAUUGUGGUUCAAUGUACAAAGACUUGUCUCACUGGGAAAGCCACCUAACAAAGAGAUGAGCAGCCCAGUGGGGUUCUGAGUCCCCUGUGCCCAGAAACAUCCAGGAAAAGAGAUGAAAAUACUAUCUUCUAAUGCAUCCAGCUUAGGAUUCCCCGUUCUAGGGAGACUCCCCUGCUUGGGUAGGGAUUUGAUGGCCCUGCUGCUUCCUCCCCUGGUCCUCCUCUGGUCAAGGACCUCAAACUGAAAGCAGGUUAUCUUGACAUGCCCACUACUAGCUGCUGUCAUUGACGUUUGAGUUUGUUUCUAAAGGUCCCAGAUGGUUUUUGACAAUUGAAUAGCCUUUGGCUGAACCAUCAAAGCUGGUUCACGCACAUGUGGUCCUCACGCACUCAUCUGCUCAUCCAUCUGACGCUUAUUGAGCAUCUAUGAAGAGCCAGGCACUGUCUAGGUGCUAAGGAUGCAGGAGGAAGAGGAUGCAGGCCCUCCAACAGAGGCUGCUGAUGCUCCGCUCGUGAUCCACCCACCCUGGAGGUCGCUGCAGACGGGUCCCAUCCGGGCCACGGCUUCCAGCCUCUCUGUGCCCCAGAGUGCUCUCUGACCACGGCGUGCAUGGCUCAUGAGAGGAAGGGAGUCAGUGGAUAAAUGCCCAGCUUCCGUGCUCUUCAGUGGGACAAUGGGAGGUGUUCUCCUUACAGACAGUCCAUGGCUCCCCAACAGAACCGAGCCCCAGUUCUUGAAUCCACAGCAGGAACAUCAUUAAUGCUCCCUCCUAUUGUCUCUCCUCUCCUCCCUGUCUCGCUUCCUCACUCACUCACCGUGCUUCUUGGGAUCAUUUCCUUAAAGAACUACUAUCACCCAAAUCCUUGUCUCAGGAUCUGCUUUUGGGGGAACCUGUCCUCAAGGGGCUUCCGACCUCCUAGUUGGGGCAUAUGUAUUGUUACUGAGGCUGCAGAUUCACUCGAAUAAACCUCACUGAGAAAACCAGAGGCGGCUUCCUUAGGAAAGACACGCGCACCGUGUGGCUCUCCCCCCAAGUGCCUUCAGGUCAGGAUUUAACGUGGAACAAAGACAUGGGGGACGCCUGCAGGGCAAGGCCAGGCCAGCGUACGCACCGUCC